AAAAAAUUACUUAUCUUACAUAUUAAUAUCAACAAUUAUCUUUAUAUUAUUCUAGUUAGUUGCCUUUCAGUAUAGGAAACAUAAGAAAUUAAUUUUUCUGUUUUAUUAUUUCAGAUUCUUUUGGAGAGGCCAAGAAUCUUCCUUUGACUCCAGAUCAGAAAUUUUCUGAAGGAGGUGUUAUAAAUACUCCUGAAAGAUUCUGAAAGAACUGAGAAUAAGCAAUCAGAUGAAAAAGAAGAAAAUCCCGUAGUAGAAUUACAUGGGGAAAAUUCAGGAGGGGCGGAGCCAAGAUGGCAGAGUGAAAGCAGUGACUUGCUUCAGCUCUCCCCCAAACCCCUCCAAAUACUCAUAAAAAAUGUCUCUAAACAAAUUCUGAAGCAGCAGAACCCACAAAAAGACAGAGUGAAACAAAUU
rnacentral:lncRNA from 1 species